rnacentral:lncRNA from 1 species
CCCAGUCUGAUGUCCCCUGUGCCCGAGAAACAUGAUCCAGAGAUGUCCUUCAUGGAUUAAGUCAUUGAAGAUGACUUACACAAACAGUUUUAAAGCUUCAAAAUUUAUUGCUGUACAUUUUCUCAUAGCAUUUACUAUGGAAAUACUAAUAGUGCAAAUAUUUAUUUUGGACUUCAUAGCAUUUGAGAAAUCACAAAGCUUGUUUAUAUCUUUGCAAUUAUUUAUGAAGAUCUAUAUUAUUUUAAAAAUCCAAACGAGUAAUCUUAUAUUCAAAGAGAUUGUAUAACACUCUCUAGAUCUCCUCUUUAGACCAAAAAAAAAAAAAAAAACACCCUGGAAGCCACCAAGGGCAUUUCUUUCCUUUAUAAUACAUACAGCUUCUAACACUUUUCCAACUGCAUGACUCUUGUUCAUUCACAGAUUCAUUCAACAAAUAUUUAAUGACAAGCUAUUACGUGCCAGGCACUGGGCUAGGCUCGGGGAACAUGAGGAUGAAAAAGCACAAUCUCUGCUUUUACGGUGCUUACAGUCUAAUAGUAGAAACAGACAUGCAAAAAAAAAUUACAAUACAAUACAAUAAAGUGCUUCCAUGGAGGUAUUUACAAAGUGCGGUGGGAACAGGGAAGGCGGGAAAGAACAUCUGCCUGAAGAAAUCAGGGACAGCUUCACAGAGGAGGUAGCCAUUGAGCUGAGACUUCAUCAAUGAUUAGGAAUUCACCAUGUAGACGGGCAGGCAAAGGGUGUUUCAGGCAAAGGGAACAACAGGUACAAAGACACAGAGGACAGGAAAGGCAGUUCAUAUGAAGG